rnacentral:rRNA from 1 species
GAUGAACGCUGGCGGCGUGCCUAAUACAUGUAAGUCGAACGGAGUAUUAGCAAUAAUACUUAGUGGCGAACGGGUGAGUAACGCGUUGGUGACCUGCCCCGAAGAGAGGGAUAACAGUUCGAAAGGACUGCUAAUACCCCAUGUGGUUGUUUGGAUUAGAUGCCUUACAACUAAACGGAUUUAUUCGCUUCGGGAGGGCCUGCGUACCAUCAGCUUGUUGGUAGGGUAAUGGCCUACCAAGGCUAUGACGGUUAGGGGACCUGAGAGGGUGGCCCCCACAAUGGAACUGAAACACGGUCCAUACACCUACGGGAGGCUG